rnacentral:rRNA from 1 species
CCUACGGGAGGCAGCAGUGGGGAAUCUUGCGCAAUGGGCGAAAGCCUGACGCAGCAACGCCGCGUGCGGGAAGAAGGCUUUCGGGCUGUAAACCGCUUUCAGCAGGAACGAAAAUGACGGUACCUGCAGAAGAAGGAGCGGCCAACUAUGUGCCAGCAGCCGCGGUGAUACAUAGGCUUCAAGCGUUGUCCGGAUUUAUUGGGCGUAGAGAGUUCGUAGGCGGUCAAGUAAGUCGGGUGUGAAAAUUCUGGGCUCAACCCAGAGACGCCACCCGAUACUGCUUAACUUGAGUUCGAUAGGGGAGUGGGGAAUUCCUAGUGUAGCGGUGAAAUGCGCAGAUAUUAGGAGGAACACCGGUGGCGAAGGCGCCACUCUGGAUCGAUACUGACGCUGAGGAACGAAAGCAUGGGUAGCAAACAGGAUUAGAUACCCUGGUAGUCCAUGCCGUAAACGGUGGGCACUAGGUGUGGGUUUCUAUUAACGAAAUCCGCGCCGUCGCUAACGCAUUAAGUGCCCCGCCUGGGGAGUACGGUCGCAAGCUAAAACUCAAAGGAAUUGACGG